rnacentral:rRNA from 1 species
GCUAGACCUAGUCCUACAAACAACAUUUAAACUAUUUAUUACACCCAAAACAUUUAUCAGCCCUAGUAUAGGCGAUAGAACAGACAAAUAUAUAGGCACAAUAGAGAGAGUACCGUGAGGGAACGUUGAAAGACUUCAUCCUACAAGCAAUAAAAAGCAAAGUUUUCACCUUUUACCUUUUGCAUAAUGAUUUAGCUAGUCAAACCGGACAAAACGAAUUGAAGCCCGCCUCCCCGAAAUUAAGUGAGCUAUUGUAGAACAGUUGACAGAACGAACUCGUCUGUGUAGCAAAACAGUGAGAUGAUUUUACAAUAGAGGUGAAAAGCCUAUCGAACUUAAUGAUAGCUGGUUGUCCAAAAAAUGAAUUUAAGUUCAACUUUAAAUUUAAUUCAAGUACCCAUAAACAUCAUUUAAAUUUAAAUGUUACUCAAAAGAGGGGACCAACUUCUUUUGAUAUGUAGACAAACUUUCAUAGAGGAUAAUGAAAUCAACACCAAAACCAUUGUAGGCCUAAAAGCAGCCAUCAAUUAAGAAAGCGUUAAAGCUCAAACUUAUCCAAUACUUUAAUUCCCAUAUUUUAAUCAAAAUCCCUUAUUUUAUAUUGGGACAAUUCUAUUCUUUAUUUAGAAAGAUAUAAUGCUAAUAUGAGUAACCUGAAUGGUAUUUCUCCUUGCACAAGCAUAUAUUACGACCCGGGAACAACCGGUUACACUUAACCAAACAAAUAAUCAUAACUACAUUACUAAGUACCUUAUUAUAUACUUUGUUAACCCAACCCAGGCGUGCAUACAAAGGAAAGAUUUAAAGGGAAUAAAAGGGAACUCGGCAAACACGAACCCCGCCUGUUUACCAAAAACAUCACCUUUAGCACUUACCAGUAUUAGAGGCACUGCCUGCCCGGUGAGUUAUGACUUUAACGGCCGCGGUAUUCCGACCGUGCAAAGGUAGCAUAAUCACUUGUCUCUUAAUUGGGGACUAGUAUGAAUGGCACCACGAGGGUUCAACUGUCUCUUACUCCCAAUCAGUGAAAUUGACCUUCCCGUGCAGAGGCGGGGAUAAUUAUACAAGACGAGAAGACCCUGUGGAGCUUAAGUCGUAUAACUCAACAAAUACUAAUAUUUAACCUAUUGGAAUAACAUGUAUAAUCUAUGAGUUAUAGUCUUUGGUUGGGGUGACCUCGGAGCAUAAAAGAACCUCCGAAUGAAUAAAACCAAGAUUAACAAAUCUAAGUGUAAUAUUACCAGUAAUUGACCCAUAUUUUGAUCAACGGAACAAGUUACCCCAGGGAUAACAGCGCAAUCCUAUUUGAGAGCCCAUAUCGAAAACAGGGUUUACGACCUCGAUGUUGGAUCAGGACAUCCAAAUGGUGCAACCGCUAUUAAAGGUUCGUUUGUUCAACGGUUAAAGUCCUACGUGAUCUGAGUUCAGACCGGAGAAAUCCAGGUCGGUUUCUAUCUGAAAAUUCAUUUCUCCCAGUACGAAAGGACAAGAGAAAUAGGGCCAAUAUCCAUAAUAAGCCCUAGAAUUAAUAUAUGAAUUUAUCUAAAUAUACUAAAUCAACCCAUAUACCCCCAAGAACAGGGC